rnacentral:rRNA from 1 species
AACGAACGCUGGCGGCAUGCCUAACACAUGCAAGUCGAACGAGACCUUCGGGUCUAGUGGCGCACGGGUGCGUAACGCGUGGGAACCUGCCCUUAGGUUCGGAAUAACUCCCCGAAAGGGGUGCUAAUACCGGAUAAUGUCUUCGGACCAAAGAUUUAUCGCCUUUGGAUGGGCCCGCGUUGGAUGAGCUAGUUGGUAGGGUAAAAGCCAUCCAAGGCGACGAUCCAUAGCUGGUCUGAGAAGAGGAUUAGCCACACUGGGACUGGGACACGGCCCAGAUGCCACGGGAAGGCAGAAGUGGGGACGUUGGAACAAUGGGCGAAGGCUGAACCCAUCAAGCCCGGGGAAGGAAGGAAGGCUUUAGGGUUGAAAAGCUCUUUAACCCGGAAUGUUAAGACGGUACCCGGAGAAAAAGCCCCGGCUAACUCCGUG